rnacentral:rRNA from 1 species
GUCUGGUGCCAGCAGCCGCGGUAAUUCCAGCUCCAAUAGCGUAUAUUAAACUUGUUGCAGUUAAAAAGCUCGUAGUUGAAUUUCUGCGUUAUCGAGUUAUUGACUCUUGUCUUUAAUCGAUUUCGCUUUUGGGAUUUAUCCCUUUUUACUUUGAGAAAAUUAGAGUGUUUCAAGCAGACUUUUGUCUUGAAUACUUCAGCAUGGAAUAAUAGAGUAGGACUUUGGUUCUAUUUUGUUGGUUUUUGAACCUUAGUAAUGGUUAAUAGGAACGGUUGGGGGCAUUCGUAUUUAACUGUCAGAGGUGAAAUUCUUAGAUUUGUUAAAGACGAACUACUGCGAAAGCAUUUGCCAAGGACGUUUCCAUUAAUCAAGAACGAAAGUUAGGGGAUCGAAGACGAUCAGAUACCGUCGUAGUCCUAA